AGUGUAAUUAUUGGGUCAGAUGGUAACUAUAUGUUUAAAUUUUUGAGGAACUGUCAGGCUAUUUUCCAAAGUGACUGCACCAUUUUGCAUUCCCACCAGCAGU
rnacentral:pre_miRNA from 1 species